AUCACUUUUUAAGAAAGUUACGCUGGACAAAAGGCAUCACAAUUGAUGUACUGGUAUCCGACACAGCAUUAGUGUCGUUUUUAAUUUAAAGGUAAUUUUGAUGUCUAAGAUUAAAGGUAACGUUAAGUGGUUUAAUGAGUCCAAAGGAUUCGGUUUCAUUACUCCGGAAGAUGGCAGCAAAGAUGUAUUCGUACACUUCUCUGCAAUCCAGUCCAACGGUUUCAAAACUCUGGCUGAAGGUCAGCGCGUAGAGUUCGAAAUCACUAACGGUGCCAAAGGCCCUUCUGCUGCAAACGUAAUGGCUAUCUAACCAACGCGUCAGUAGAAUAUAAAAACCCGCUUAUAGCGGGUUUUUUUUU
rnacentral:sRNA from 1 species